rnacentral:rRNA from 1 species
AGCGAACGCUGGCGGCGCGCCUAACACAUGCAAGUCGAGCGAGAACCAGGGCUUCGGCCCUGGGGACAGCGGCGAACGGGUGAGUAACACGUGGAUAACCUGCCCUCGGCACCGGAAUAGCCCGGGGAAACCCGGAUUAAUGCCGGAUGGCCCCUCAGCCCCUCGGGGCGGUGGGGAAAGGUAGCUUCGGCCUCUGGCCGAGGAUGGGUCCGCGGCGGAUUAGCUAGUUGGCGGGGUAAUGGCCCACCAAGGCGACGAUCCGUAGCUGGUCUGAGAGGACGAUCAGCCACACUGGGACUGAGACACGGCCCAGACUCCUACGGGAGGCAGUAGUGGGGAAUCUUGCGCAAUGGGCGAAAGUCUGACGCAGCGACGCCGCGUGCGGGAAGAAGGCCUUCGGGUUGUAAACCGCUUUCAGGAGGGACGAAGCCACUCGGGUGAAUAGCCCAGAGGGUGACGGUACUUCCAGAAGAAGUCCCGGCUAACUACGUGCCAGCAGCCGCCGUAAGAC